GGAGAGGUCGCAUAGUGGUCCAUUGCACCGGUUUCGAAAACCGGCGCCGCAAGGCUUCGUGGGUUCGAAUCCCACCCUCUCCG
rnacentral:tRNA from 2 species